UUAGUUGGUAAGGUAACGGCUUACCAAGACAAUGAUACGUAGCCGACCUGAGAGGGUAAUCGGCCACAUUGGGACUGAGACACGGCCCAAACUCCUACGGGAGGCAGCAGUAGGGAAUCUUCCACAAUGGACGAAAGUCUGAUGGAGCAACGCCGCGUGAGUGAAGAAGGUUUUAGGAUCGUAAAACUCUGUUGUUGGAGAAGAACAGGGACUAGAGUAACUGUUAGUCCUUUGACGGUAUCCAACCAGAAAGCCACGGCUAACUACGUGCCAGCAGCCGCGGUAAUACGUAGGUGGCAAGCGUUGUCCGGAUUUAUUGGGCGUAAAGCGAGCGCAGGCGGUUUUUUAAGUCUGAUGUGAAAGCCUUCGGCUUAACCGAAGAAGUGCAUUAGAAACUGGGAAACUUGAGUGCAGAAGAGGACAGUGGAACUCCAUGUGUAGCGGUGAAAUGCGUAGAUAUAUGGAAGAACACCAGUGGCGAAGGCGGCUGUCUGGUCUGUAACUGACGCUGAGGCUCGAAAGUAUGGGGAGCGAACAGGAUUAGAUACCCUGGUAGUCCAUACCGUAAACGAUGAAUGCUAAGUGUUGGAGGGUUUCCGCCCUUCAGUGCUGCAGCUAACGCAUUAAGCAUUCCGCCUGGGGAGUACGACCGCAAGGUUGAAACUCAAAGGAAUUGACGGGGGCCCGCACAAGCGGUGGAGCAUGUGGUUUAAUUCGAAGCAACGCGAAGAACCUUACCAGGUCUUGACAUCCUUUGACCACUGUAGAGAUACAGCUUUCCCUUCG
rnacentral:rRNA from 1 species